rnacentral:rRNA from 1 species
GACGAACCGUGCAAACGUUAUUCGGAAUCACUGGGCGUAAAGGGCGCGUAGGCGGCGCGGGAAGGCGGCGGUGAAAGUCCGGGGCUCAACCCCGGAUCGGCCGUGGCGACUCCCGCGCUGGAGCACAGUAGAGGCGGGUGGAAUUCCGGGUGUAGCGGUGGAAUGCGUAGAGAUCCGGAAGAACACCGGUGGCGAAGGCGGCCCGCUGGCUGUGGCUGACGCUGAGGCGCGACAGCGUGGGGAGCAAACAGG